rnacentral:rRNA from 1 species
UACGGGGGGAGCAAGCGUUGUUCGGAUUUACUGGGCGUAAAGGGCGCGUAGGCGGCCAGCGCAAGUCAGUUGUGAAAUCUCCGGGCUUAACUCGGAACGGUCAACUGAUACUGCGCGGCUAGAGUGCGGAAGGGGCAACUGGAAUUCUUGGUGUAGCGGUGAAAUGCGUAGAUAUCAGGAGGAACACCGGUGGCGAAGGCGGCUGCCUGGCCUAAGACUGACGCUGAGGUGCGAAAGCGUGGGGAGCGAACGGG